rfam:Stegodyphus mimosarum contig92139, whole genome shotgun sequence.
GCCUUCGUGGUGUACUGGUCAGCACGCUCGACGUGUAACUGAGAGAUCCGUGGUUCGAUUCCCGCCGAAGACG